CAGCCGCCGCGGUAAUGCGUAGGCGGCAAGCGUUGUCCGGAAUUAUUGGGCGUAAAGGGCUCGCAGGCGGUUUCUUAAGUCUGAUGUGAAAGCCCCCGGCUCAACCGGGGAGGGUCAUUGGAAACUGGGAAACUUGAGUGCAGAAGAGGAGAGUGGAAUUCCACGUGUAGCGGUGAAAUGCGUAGAGAUGUGGAGGAACACCAGUGGCGAAGGCGACUCUCUGGUCUGUAACUGACGCUGAGGAGCGAAAGCGUGGGGAGCGAACAGGAUUAGAUACCCGAGUAGUCCCUGUCUCUUAUAC
rnacentral:rRNA from 1 species